rnacentral:rRNA from 1 species
UACAGAGGUCUCAAGCGUUGUUCGGAUUCAUUGGGCGUAAAGGGCGCGUAGGGGGCUGUGCAAGUCUGGUGUGAAAUCUCGGGGCUCAACCCCGAAACUGCACCGGAUACUGCAUGGCUGGAGGACUCUAGAGGAGAGAGGAAUUCACGGUGUAGCAGUGAAAUGCGUAGAGAUCGUGAGGAAGACCAGUUGCGAAGGCGUCUCUCUGGGCAGUUCCUGACACUGAGGCACGAAGGCCAGGGGAGCAAACGGG